rnacentral:rRNA from 1 species
AUUGAACGCUGGCGGCAGGCCUAACACAUGCAAGUCGAACGAGUGGCGGACGGGUGAGUCAUGUCUGGGAAACUGCCUGAUGGAGGGGGAUAACUACUGGAAACGGUAGCUAAUACCGCAUACCAUCAGAUGUGCCCAGAUGGGAUUAGAUAGUUGUUGGGGUACUGGCUCACCAAGGCGACGAUCCCUAGCUGGUCUGAGAGGAUGACCAGCCACACUGGAAUUGAUACACGGUCCAGACUCGUACGGGAGGCAGCCGUGGGGAAUAGUGCACAAUGGGCGCAAGCCUGAUGCAGCCAGGCCGCGUGUAUGAAGAAGGCCUUCGGGUUGUAAAGUACUUUCAGCUGGGAGGCGUUACCCGCAGAAGAAGCACCGGCUAACUCCGUGCCAGCAGCCGCGGUAAUAC